UCCUGACAAGAUCCAGAUGGUGGCUCAGUAUCUGCUGGCUCACAUGGCCUGGAGGUGAAGUAGACAGGGUCAGAGGAACAGAGGUUGUGGGAGAGGAUUCUGGCAACUGCCCUCUAAAAAUUACUGCUUCUGGCAGCCACGCCCCUGCACGGGUCACGUGACUUACGAAGCCCAAUGGGAAGCCCCUGAUUGCCGCGUGAGGGAUUGUGGGAAAGCCUGCUGAGAGAGGCGGGAAUGACCAGGUGACUCCAGGCGCGUGAGCGAGCACAUCCUAAGCCAUCCAGCGUCACCUGAUCUGGCCCAGUCCGGAGCUGCUCGGCUGACCACAGACUCUUGAGAAAUAGGAAAUCGGAGCACAGAGGAGAGGCCAUAUGAGGACAUGGUGAGGUGGCCAUCUGCAAGCCGGGAAGAGAGAUCCCACCAGACACCAACCCUGCCAGCACCGUGAUCUUGAACUUCCAGCCUCCAGAAUUGCCGGUGGGCGCUCCUGUCGCUGUCCCCCUCUCGCCUUCCACUCGGAUCCACAGGCACAAGCCCCGAAAGCACUUCCUUUGUGGAUGGCAGGUCCCAGAACAGGGCCAGCCAGUAGGCCUGGGGAGAGGGUGUGGAUUUCCUGAUGGGCCAGAG